AAGAGAGACUUUGUAGAAGUGCCU
rnacentral:piRNA from 1 species